rnacentral:rRNA from 1 species
CCCUUAGAUGUUCUGGGCAGCACGCGCGCUACAAUGGUCUUCGCAAACGGAUGCAUUCUCGAAGGAGAAUGCCAAUCUUGGAAUCUAUGCCUUGGUCGGGACAGUUGCUUGCAAUUUUUCGACUCGAACCAGGAAUUCCUUGUAAUCGUGAUUCAUCACAUCACGAUGAAUACGUCCCUGCCCUUUGUACACACCUCCCGUCGCUCCUACCGAUCGAAGAGUUAGGUGAAUUGUUUUGAUCGAUAAGAUUUGACUAUGGUCAACUCUCGUUGUGAAAUUCUGUGAAUCUGACUGUUUAGAGGAAGGAAAAGUCGUAACA